rnacentral:tRNA from 1 species
GUUUCCGUAGUGUAGUGGUUUUCACGUUCGCUUGAUAUGCGAAAGGUCCCUGGUUCGAGCCCGGGCGAAAACA